AGUUGAAUAGUGCCUGUUGGUGUUACCAGUACUUAAUAGGGAAUUGAGUGAAAGUCUCAAGCUGUCCCAGCAACCGUAAGACGGACGAAAGCCACAAAACCACUGUCGGGGAAUCGACGGGAAGGGUGGCAAGUAGGAGGAUGUCGAGCCGGUAGACCUGCCAACAUGCCUUGAAGGUU
rnacentral:ncRNA from 2 species